UCUGCUAUUUCUUCUUUGCCUUUAAAAACGUGACUCUGAGUAACACAGAUUCAGGUCUGCAAAGCAUAGAAUGUGUUCGUUUAUGGCAGAAUUUGGCCCAGAACAUGCGAUUUUUUAAUCUCUUCCACACUGACUGUUUAUCUUCCUCUUCAAUAAAAUGUGAAACUUCUUUUUGAGACUGGGCAGCAUCCUCAUUGACCUGGGCUCCAGACUGGCCCUGCUUCCAAGUCGUUGCAAGUCUUUUCAGUUUGUGAUGAAAAAGUUCUUUCUUUUCUGCCUCUGGAGAUGCAUCACGAGAUUUUGUCUUUUGAGAUGAUGUUCAGGUGCAUGUUGCUUUUAGGAAAUGAUACCCCUUUUUUUACUCUUCCAUACUUUACCUAAUGGGAACAGCGAAUCUCUGCUCUGCUGAUCAUUUAACGUGGUUUCCACUGAAGUUAGAAGAUAUUUCGGUAACUCGGUUUGUAGCUCAGUUGGGAGAGCUGAAAACAAACCAUGAAACCUCGCUGAAAAAAUUCUCUUCUGAAUAG
rnacentral:lncRNA from 1 species